GCUUGUUUUAAUAGGGGCUAUGCUCUACACUUCCCUCCCCUCCCCCUGCCCGCCCACCUCCCAACCCACUCUUAACGUCCAUAAGUCAGAUCCUUAUCAGAUCAUUGUUACCUUCUAAAAAGCGAUCUAUUUUUCACCUGUUGGACUCUGUUAGUGGUCUGAGGAAGAACAGAUCACUUUGUAAACUACGGAUGGUCUGAUAAGGUUUUUACUGACCCACUGACUUUAGAGUUACACUCUGUUUACUACAUCAUAAUGCUGGUUUUGCUGACUUUUUGUAUUCCCCACUGUGUAAAUAAAUGAUUUUGCUGAAUAAAGUAAAGUCUUAAAUUCAUAUGUUGAAGCAAUUUUUUUUAAAGUUCUGAUAAGUCUUAAAGAGGGUGGUUUACUUUUUGAUGUCAACAAUCUAGAAAUCCUAGGACUAUGCUAUAUAUUUCUUCUAGCUUAUACUUUGAACAUAGGAUUUAUAUGUACUUUAAAUAUACUUGAGAAUUAGUAUUUAAUGGCUAUUUUUACAAAUACGUAAUUUAUGCUGACACAAAUUAUGGCAGCAAUAUUACCUUUAAGAAAGAUUAAGCACCCAGAAAAA
rnacentral:lncRNA from 1 species